AAAAAAAAAAUACACCAAAUUAUUCUGGGUGGUAUUGAAAACUGCUUUGGGCUUGUUUGUUUACAUUGGAUGCUUAGCUUUCUUUUCAUGGGAACAGUGGGGAAAAGAAAGCACUGGUACCCCCAGCAGCCUCACCUGUCUGUUUCCCUCUGCCUCAGCUUCGUGAUGGUCAACAGCGUGGCGCUGAACGGGGACGGCUGUGGCAUCUGCUCUGAAGCAGAAGCAGAGCUCAUUGAAGUUUCUCACAGACUGAACUGCUCCCGCGAGGCACGUGGCUCCCGCCGGUGUGGACCUGGGCCUCUGCUGCCCAUGUCUGACCCCGUCCUCCUGCAGCAUUAUCCUCUGUAUCGGAGAAGUGAUGCUAACUGUUCUGGGGACGAUGCUGCUCCUCCGGAGGAAAGGGACAUCCCAUUUAAGGAGAACUAUGACGUGCUUUCACGGGAGGCAUCACAAAAGGUUUGCCAGGGUGUCAUGAUGCUAAUUCAUGUCGCAUUGUGACUCUCAUCACCUUGCAUGUCAGCAAGCAGAGCGCCCAGGCUAGAGCAGGUGUUUGCUGAAACGUUGAUGACUUAGUUAUCACCUGGGGACGGGGUGGAUGGAGGCCUGGCCUUCACAGCACCAUCAGUUAAUUGCUUUCUUUUUUUUUUUUCCAGUAAACCUACUUCUAUUUCCUACCCUGAAGUCAAUAAUAGUCUUAGCUAUUCUUUGUAUUCAGAGUUUUUUACCAACUUGAAUGUGUUUAGAAAUGUGAAUGGAACUUGGAAGAAUCAAAAUUUUAGGGACUUAAUUAAAAUUAAUG
rnacentral:lncRNA from 1 species